rnacentral:rRNA from 1 species
AUUGAACGCUGGCGGCAGGCCUAACACAUGCAAGUCGAACGGUAAAAGGGAGCUUGCUCCUGCAUUCCGCGGCAGAGGGGGGCGUAAUACCUAUGACUGUGCCAGGGCGUGGGGGAUGACGUCCACAACCGGACACGGAUGCCGCAAACGCACAACGGCGCAAGGUGAAGGAGCUUGGGACUUCACGCUCUCGGAUGCGCCUAGGUCGGAUUAGCUAGUUGGUGGGGUAAAGGCCUACCCAGGCGACGAUCCGUAACUGGUCUGAGAGGAUGAGCAGUCACACUGGAACUGAGACACGGUCCAGACUCCUACGGGAGGCAGCAGUGGGGAAUAUUGGACAAUGGGCGAAAGCCUGAUCCAGCCAUGCCGCGUGUGUGAAGAAGGUCUUCGGAUUGUAAAGCACUUUAAGUUGGGAGGAAGGGAAGUAAGUUAAUACCUUGCUUUUUUGACGUUACCAACAGAAGAAGCACCGGCUAACUUCGUG